AUUGAACGCUGGCGGCAUGCCUUACACAUGCAAGUCGAACGGCAGCACGGGAGCAAUCCUGGUGGCGAGUGGCGAACGGGUGAGUAAUGUAUCGGAACGUGCCCAGCCGUGGGGGAUAACGCAGCGAAAGCUGUGCUAAUACCGCAUACGAUCUAUGGAUGAAAGCGGGGGAUGGCAAGACCUCCCCCGAUUGGAUCGGCCGAUAUCAGAUUAGCGAGUUGGUGGGGUAAAAGCUUACCAAGGCGACGAUCUGUAGCUGGUCGGAGCGGACGCGCAGCCAGGGUGGAACUGCGACACGGUCCAGACUCAUACGGGCGGCAGCAGUGGGGAAUUUUGGACAAUGGGCGCAAGCCUGAUCCAGCAAUGCCGCGUGCAGGAUGAAGGCCUUCGGAUUGUAAACUGCUUUUGUACGGAGCGAAAAGGCUCUCUCUAAUACAGGGGGCUCAUGACGGUACCGUAAGAAUAAGCACCGGCUAACUACGUGCCAGCCGCCGCAGUAA
rnacentral:rRNA from 1 species